CCAGUACAUCAACGGGCUGGCGCUGGAGCAGGACCAGGUCCGACGUGGUUCCAUGGAAGAAGGUCUGCCGCCUGAACCGCUCCAGCGUCCUGAGACGUCUCGCUGGCGUCUUACACAGCAGCUGUGGAAAAGAGGACUGCGUCAAACUACCCACUCCAGACUGUUACGCUACCAAAUACUGAGAUGGUGAAGGCCCGUCCACCCCGCUCCAGCCGACGGGACAAACCAAAAUCUGCUAAACGGAGGUGGCCUGUACAACAUCAGAUAUAAAGCGUUCUCUGGUUACCAUCUACCCAAAAACCGACCGAUGCAAUAGCGCCCUGGUGGAGGCUAAGAAACAAACUGAUGUAAUAGCGCUUUCUGUUGGACGAACAAACAAAUGUAAUGCUUUUACCAUUUUCUGUAAGCAGGAUGUUCUCCAUCUGAAUGUAAAAAUAAAUAAAUAAU